GACGAACGCUGGCGGCGUGCCUAAUACAUGCAAGUCGAGCGGAUGAGAAAGGAGCUUGCUCCUUUCGAUUCAGCGGCGGACGGGUGAGUAACACGUGGGCAACCUGCCUGUAAGACUGGGAUAACUCCGGGAAACCGGGGCUAAUACCGGAUAACUCAUGAGACUGCAUAGUCUGAUGAUAAAAGAUGGUUAUGCUAUCACUUACAGAUGGGCCCGCGGCGCAUUAGCUAGUUGGUGAGGUAACGGCUCACCAAGGCGACGAUGCGUAGCCGACCUGAGAGGGUGAUCGGCCACACUGGGACUGAGACACGGCCCAGACUCCUACGGGAGGCAGCAGUAGGGAAUCUUCCGCAAUGGACGAAAGUCUGACGGAGCAACGCCGCGUGAGCGAUGAAGGCCUUCGGGUCGUAAAGCUCUGUUGUUAGGGAAGAACAAGUAUGAGUUAACUGCUCAUACCGUGACGGUACCUAACGAGAAAGCCACGCUAACUACGUGCCAGCAGCCGCGGUAAUACGUAGGUGGCAAGCGUUGUCCCGAUUUAUUGGGCGUAAAGCGCGC
rnacentral:rRNA from 1 species